GUGCUCUCUUUGGCAGCACAUACACUACAGUCGGAACAGUACAGAGAUGAGUAUGGCUCUUGUGCAAGGAUAACGUGCAAAGGAGACUCACGAAACUCUU
ensembl:snRNA U6 U6 spliceosomal RNA